ACAAAGCAUUUUAAUAAUUCAAACAUGACAAUUAAAUAUGAAUUAAUUGAUUCUCACUAAACAUGAGUUUGAUGAAAACUUUGUGACAAUAUUGCAUUUACAAAUUUUUGGAAGUAUGAUCAAACUAAGUGACAAGGCUGUUACAUUUUCACCAGCAGAUGUCCCUAGUGAGUGACGAAUGAAGCAUCGAGUAAAGAACCUUUUUCCAAAGCAAAGUGUUGGAAAGCUUCAUUGCUUCAUGAGGUUUCAUUUGCCCAAUACCAGAAAGGGCAGAGCUUGCUGCAGAUCCUCAGAGGAACACAGAGGAGGAUGACCAGCACACAAUCACUGGAUAUAAUCCUUCAGUGAGGGCAGGCCACCAACAGGAGCACAAGGUCUGUCAGGCUACGCAAACAAAAACUGGGCUGCAAACAGGCAGUGCUAAUGAGACGUUCUGUCAGUGAGUGUCUGUGGAGGGCAGGUAUAAGUAGUGACAGACGAGCUGGGUUGAGUCUGAUUGCUGCAACAGGUGGAACUAAUGAAGGUGGCUGAUGAGAGUGGAGAAGAGAAUGGAGGGAAACGGACCAAAAGAACAUAAACAAAAAGCCCCAAUCGUGACAAAUACUGUAUCCGCACAGAGGAGUGUAAAGAUGAAACAGCAUGAAGUUGGAUGAGCUGGGAUAGGAGUAGCGAGGCUUAGCAAGGUGGAGGCCAGACGAGGAUGGACUUCUCUCUGGUGUAUUACUGCCCCCCAGUGGUGAAACAUUCCCUCACGUUAAAGAAGCGGAUGGCGAUCCAUUAAAAAUCCACACGCACAAACAAGAAGAAACAGAAAGUGUAAUUUAAACAAUUUGACUUUAUUCUGUGUUAGUUUCCUUCGUUAUACGUUAGCAAACACUCUCUCAGCAGGUGAAAUGUACUCUGACUUAAUCUGCUACUCUUUUCAUCACAAGCUUUGCUCAUUCAUUUACAAUAAGGCAAAAGAAAAAGUUACUGUCAGCCUGUUGUUCCUGUUAUCUGUGAAACAAGACUCUCCUACACACACACACACACACACACACACACACACACUCUAACAUAAGACUCGUGUUUGAAAUACGAAACAGCAAUGCACAAACAAAACUGUGGGAACUAGUGAUUAGCUUUGUAGCAGAGGUAUAAUUGGAGCCGCUAAUUGGCGCAGAGCCUCGUUGUUACACUGUAACCUCUAAUUUAGCACAUUUACAUCCCUUAAAACAAUAACUUUGGCUGAGAAUAAAAUGACUAACAGUAGCUGUGGUGAAAAACAGAUCUACUUAUGGUAACAAUAAAAUAUUUUAUGCUGUUUGCUGUAAUGCACUCGCACAGCCCCUCUCACAUUUAUUGUCAUCCAUGACAGACGUGUGUGUAAAAUGCCUUUAAAAUAAAUGUACCUUUUGUUGCAGAAGCACAAUCUCACUCUUAACAUUUCUGAAUAUUCCAACCAUAAAUUUGGAUACAUUAAUUGAAUAGGAAAAUUAAUUCAACAUUACAAACAUUUUCACUGGUGUCUCAGUAAUUACUUUAAAAUAAGUGUUUUAUUUGACUUGAUUUGUUUACGUCUAACUAAUCAGAGCGCUCUUAUCCAGACAUCCGAUGAAACGGCUGUUAAGCAGGACGUGUGAUGCUGUGGGACUGUUUCUCUGCUAUAGGCUCUGCGAACAAUGUUAGAAUGCAUUACAUCAUGAACUCCUUGAAAUACCAGCAGAUUUUAAAUCGAUAAAUCUCGUGACCACUAUCAGUAAGCUCAAAAUGGGUCAUCAUGGCGUCAUUCAACAGAGUAGUGAUCCAAAAACAUGUGAACACAGAAAUUAUUCACAAGACCAAAUAUUACACAAUCAUAACAAUCUGUGGGGUGAGCUGAAGACAAAAUAGCAUCAGAGAGACUCUCAAUGAUCUAAAAAGACUGUGCAAAAAAAAAAAAAUUGUUUCAAAGAUCCCUUUCUACCACCAAUGGGAUGCUUGGCCAACCCCCUCUUUCUGCUAACCCAUGAUCAAUCAAAUUUAGGAAGUCACUCAAAGUUUGGGGGUGGGAUAAAAUGCAGUGGAGUCCCGCGCAAAGCAUAUAAAAUAGUGCCUACCCUCAGCAGCAAGCAAGAGGCACUGACUGGUCAUGCAAAACAGCAAACUGACAGCACACAUCCCCAACCUCUAUUUCAAUACCGCUUUGGGUAGCCGCCCAUAUGGCCCGUGUCAAAAAUUAACACUGUGUUGUCCAAUUAGCAAACCGGUGUUGUGCAAAGCAUGGACUGCACAGUUACCAAUUAAGGUAAUAGACCAGUACUGACUUUGUUAAAAGAAAUUUAGCUCACCCAGGUAGGAUUGUUCUAAAUUGAUCAUUGCGAGGUUAUGCUUAAAAGUUGAAUUUAUUUGAAGACAUCUCUCCCAGGGGUGCCAAUAAGUGUGGAGGGUACUGUAUAUGAAAUAAAGGCAGACAUUAAGGAUACAGAUGAAGAAAGCCUAUACAUUAUAGAGAAAUCUGUGUCGCGCUUCUUCUUUUUUUUUCUUCUUUUUUUUUUUUAAACAUAAGCCUUAUAGAUGUAUAU